rnacentral:rRNA from 1 species
CAAUAGCGUAUAUUAAAGUUGUUGCAGUUAAAACGCUCGUAGUCGGAUUUCGGGGCGGGCCGACCGGUCUGCCGAUGGGUAUGCACUGGUCGGCGCGUCCUUCCUUCCGGAGACCGUCCCUACUCUUAACUGAGCGGGGGCGGGAGACGGGACUUUUACUUUGAAAAAAUCAGAGUGUUUCAAGCAGGCAGCUCGCUCUUGCAUGGAUUAGCAUGGGAUAAUGAAAUAGGACUUUGGUGCUAUUUUGUUGGUUUCGAACACCGAAGUAAUGAUGAGAAGGGACAGUCAGGGGCACUCGUAUUCCGCCGAGAGAGGUGAAAUUCUCAGACCAGCGGAAGACGAACCACUGCGAAAGCAUUUGCCAGGGAUGUUUNCACUGA